rnacentral:rRNA from 1 species
UACGUAGGGGGCAAGCGUUGUCCGGAAUCAUUGGGCGUAAAGCGCGUGUAGGCGGCCCGAUAAGUCCGCUGUGAAAGUCCAGGGCUCAACCCUGGGAUGCCGGUGGAUACUGUCGGGCUCGAGUCCGGAAGAGGAGUGUGGAAUUCCUGGUGUAGCGGUGAAAUGCGCAGAUAUCAGGAGGAACACCAAUGGCGAAGGCAGCACUCUGGGCAUGUCCUGACGCUGAGGAGCGAAAGUGUGGGGAGCGAACAGG